rnacentral:rRNA from 1 species
ACGCUAGCUACAGGCUUAACACAUGCAAGUCGAGGGGCAGCAUGGUCUUAGCUUGCUAAGGCCGAUGGCGACCGGCGCACGGGUGAGUAACACGUAUCCAACCUGCCGUCUACUCUUGGACAGCCUUCUGAAAGGAAGAUUAAUACAAGAUGGCAUCAUGAGUCCGCAUGUUCACAUGAUUAAAGGUAUUCCGGUAGACGAUGGGGAUGCGUUCCAUUAGAUAGUAGGCGGGGUAACGGCCCACCUAGUCUUCGAUGGAUAGGGGUUCUGAGAGGAAGGUCCCCCACAUUGGAACUGAGACACGGUCCAAACUCCUACGGGAGGCAGCAGUGAGGAAUAUUGGUCAAUGGGCGAGAGCCUGAACCAGCCAAGUAGCGUGAAGGAUGACUGCCCUAUGGGUUGUAAACUUCUUUUAUAAAGGAAUAAAGUCGGGUAUGGAUACCCGUUUGCAUGUAUUUUAUGAAUAAGGAUCGGCUAACUCCGUGCCAGCAGCCGCGGUAAUACGGAGGAUCCGAGCGUUAUCCGGAUUUAUUGGGUUUAAAGGGAGCGUAGAUGGAUGUUUAAGUCAGUUGUGAAAGUUUGCGGCUCAACCGUAAAAUUGCAGUUGAUACUGGAUAUCUUGAGUGCAGUUGAGGCAGGCGGAAUUCGUGGUGUAGCGGUGAAAUGCUUAGAUAUCACGAAGAACUCCGAUUGCGAAGGCAGCCUGCUAAGCUGCAACUGACAUUGAGGCUCGAAAGUGUGGGUAUCAAACAGGAUUAGAUACCCUGGUAGUCCACACGGUAAACGAUGAAUACUCGCUGUUUGCGAUAUACUGCAAGCGGCCAAGCGAAAGCGUUAAGUAUUCCACCUGGGGAGUACGCCGGCAACGGUGAAACUCAAAGGAAUUGACGGGGGCCCGCACAAGCGGAGGAACAUGUGGUUUAAUUCGAUGAUACGCGAGGAACCUUACCCGGGCUUAAAUUGCAGAUGAAUUACGGUGAAAGCCGUAAGCCGCAAGGCAUCUGUGAAGGUGCUGCAUGGUUGUCGUCAGCUCGUGCCGUGAGGUGUCGGCUUAAGUGCCAUAACGAGCGCAACCCUUGUUGUCAGUUACUAACAGGUUCCGCUGAGGACUCUGACAAGACUGCCAUCGUAAGAUGUGAGGAAGGUGGGGAUGACGUCAAAUCAGCACGGCCCUUACGUCCGGGGCUACACACGUGUUACAAUGGGGGGUACAGAGGGCCGCUACCACGCGAGUGGAUGCCAAUCCCAAAAACCUCUCUCAGUUCGGACUGGAGUCUGCAACCCGACUCCACGAAGCUGGAUUCGCUAGUAAUCGCGCAUCAGCCACGGCGCGGUGAAUACGUUCCCGGGCCUUGUACACACCGCCCGUCAAGCCAUGGGAGCCGGGGGUACCUGAAGUGCGUAACCGCGAGGAGCGCCCUAGGGUAAAACUGGUGACUGGGGCUA